rnacentral:rRNA from 1 species
UACAGAGGUCCCAAGCGUUGUUCGGAUUCAUUGGGCGUAAAGGGUGCGUAGGCGGCGCGGUAAGUCGGGUGUGAAAUCUCGGAGCUUAACUCCGAAACUGCAUUCGAUACUGCCGUGCUUGAGGACUGGAGAGGAGACUGGAAUUUACGGUGUAGCGGUGAAAUGCGUAGAUAUCGAGAGGAACACCUGCGGCGAAGGCGGGUUGCUGGGCUGAUACUGACGCUGAUGCGCGAAAGCCAGGGGAGCGAACGGG